UGUUAAGUUUCCAUACCUCUGCUAUGGUGU
rnacentral:piRNA from 1 species